rfam:Gossypium raimondii Chr11_contig_637, whole genome shotgun sequence.
AUCCCUUGAUGAGGACACUUACGAAGUAACUCCUUGAAUCACUCCCAAGCCUCAUACAAAGACUCAUCAUCCAAUUGUUGGAAAUAAUUAACCAAAAAUCUCUCUGCUAAUUCU